rnacentral:rRNA from 1 species
AACGAACGCUGGCGGCAGGCCUAACACAUGCAAGUCGAACGCCCGUAGCAAUACGGGAGUGGCAGACGGGUGAGUAACGCGUGGGAACGUGCCCUUCGGUUCGGAAUAACUCAGGGAAGCUUGAGCUAAUACCGGAUACGUCCGUAAGGAGAAAGAUUUAUCGCCGAAGGAUCGGCCCGCGUCGGAUUAGCUAGUUGGUGAGGUAAUGGCUCACCAAGGCGACGAUCCGUAGCUGGUCUGAGAGGACGACCAGCCACACCGGAACUGAGACACGGUCCGGACUCCUACGGGAGGCAGCAGUGGGGAAGUAUUGGAC